GCAUGUGGCUUAAUUCGACGCAACGCGAAGAACCUUACCAAGGCUUGACAUACACCGGAAAGCAUUAGAGAUAGUGCCCCCCUUGUGGUCGGUGUACAGGUGGUGCAUGGCUGUCGUCAGGUGGGGACGACGUCAAGUCAUCAUGCCCCUUAUGUCUUGGGCUGCACACGUGCUACAAUGGCCGGUACAAUGAGCUGCGAUACCGUGAGGUGGAGCGAAUCUCAAAAAGCCGGUCUCAGUUCGGAUUGGGGUCUGCAACUCGACCCCAUGAAGUCGGAGUCGCUAGUAAUCGCAGAUCAGCUAUUGCUGCGGUGAAUACGUUCCCGGGCCUUGUACACACCGCCCGUCACGUCACGAAAG
rnacentral:rRNA from 1 species